AAGUCGUAACAAGGUUUCCGUAGGUGAACCUGCGGAAGGAUCAUUAAAGAGAGAGGGUCCCAUCCACCUGGCCCAAACCUCCCCCAUUGCAAACAAACCUGCCUUUGCUUUGGAUGGGUCGCACCGCCCAUCAGCAGGUAACCCUUGAAACCCCGUCAUCUGUGGAGUCUGAGCAUGAUACAAUAGUUAAAA
rnacentral:misc_RNA from 1 species